rnacentral:lncRNA from 1 species
GGAGGCAGCUUUAGUCCCUGGGACCGUUUCUGUGCCCAAGGAGAGGGAGGGCAGGGGAAGGAUGGAAUUUCAUCUAGAGUAGCAGGUCCUGGUUGCCUGGUAAAUUAUGCAUCAGGACUGGGCUAGCCACUGCCUCCGUUUUCUCUGGGCUCCUGAGAUAACCUCCACCUGCCUCUAGAUUCUGUGCCAGCUGAUCGUUAUCUAUCUCAUCAACUCUUGUUCCAUCAGGAAACUGCAUCUUGGAGCAGCAGGCCUGGCUCCUGCCCAGGAGGCACCUGGCCUAGAUCUCAGCGUCACUGCGGAGUUAACCAAGGGAAGCGGCACCAGCAUCACACCCUGUUCCAGCCAACAGUCUCCAGCGUCCCUGACAGAUGUCGGGAAGUUCUUUUCCCCGUAAGAUCCCGGAGAAUGUCCUGAGGCUGCCGUGUGGAAGCUCUGGGGCCUUUCUCGUCUCCCACUGCCAGCUUAAUGAGCUGUGCUGGUAGCAACAGAUGGCGCCCCGCAGGGUCUCACUUGGAUAGCUUGGAAAGUUCCUGGACACCAGUUGGACUUGCCGCGAAAACCAUUAAUCUGGCCUUUCAGAGAAAAUCUUCAGAAGAAUGUAUUUGCAAGGUGAAUUAUGAGGAUUUAGGAUUUGCCCUCAAAUUUCUCUUUCAGGCUGCUCUUCAAAUAAAUAUUUCCCCAUCCAAAAGA